rnacentral:rRNA from 1 species
AGUGAACGCUGGCGGUAGGCCUAACACAUGCAAGUCGAACGGCAGCACAGUAAGAGCUUGCUCUUACGGGUGGCGAGUGGCGGACGGGUGAGGAAUACAUCGGAAUCUACUUUUUCGUGGGGGAUAACGUAGGGAAACUUACGCUAAUACCGCAUACGACCUACGGGUGAAAGCAGGGGAUCUUCGGACCUUGCGCGAUUGAAUGAGCCGAUGACGGAUUAGCUAGUUGGCGGGGUAAAGGCCCACCAAGGCGACGAUCCGUAGCUGGUCUGAGAGGAUGAUCAGCCACACUGGAACUGAGACACGGUCCAGACUCCUACGGGAGGCAGCAGUGGGGAAUAUUGGACAAUGGGCGCAAGCCUGAUCCAGCCAUACCGCGUGGGUGAAGAAGGCCUUCGGGUUGUAAAGCCCUUUUGUUGGGAAAGAAAAGCAGCAGGUUAAUACCCCGCUGCUCUGACGGUACCCAAAGAAUAAGCACCGGCUAACUUCGUG